rnacentral:rRNA from 1 species
GAUGAACGCUGGCGGCGUGCUUAACACGUGCAAGUCGAACGGAAAGGCCCUUGCUUGCAGGGGUACUCGAGUGGCGAACGGGUGAGUAACACGUGGGUGAUCUGCCCUGCACUUCGGGAUAAGCCUGGGAAACUGGGUCUAAUACCGGAUAGGACCAUCGUUUAGUGUCGGUGGUGGAAAGUUUUUUCGGUGUGGGAUGAGCUCGCGGCCUAUCAGCUUGUUGGUGGGGUAAUGGCCUACCAAGGCGUCGACGGGUAGCCGGCCUGAGAGGGUGUACGGCCACAUUGGGACUGAGAUACGGCCCAGACUCCUACGGGAGGCAGCAGUGGGGAAUAUUGCACAAUGGGCGCAAGCCUGAUGCAGCGACGCCGCGUGGGGGAUGACGGCCUUCGGGUUGUAAACUCCUUUCGUCAGGGACGAAGCGAAAGUGACGGUACCUGGAUAAGAAGCACCGGCUAACUACGUG